GAUUUAGUCCUGAACUUACUGUUAGUUGUUGCUAGGCAUAUACAUGCGAGUAUCCGCGCUCCAGUGCAAAAGCCCUCAGAACCUCACACCCAGGUCAGCAGGAGCGGGUAUCAGGCUCACCUCAAUCGUAGCCCAAAACGCCUUGCAUUUGCCACACCCCCACGGGUAUUCAGCAGUAGUUAGUAUUAAGCAAUGAGUGCAAACUUGACUUAGCCAUAGCAACUUAGGGGUGGUAAAUCUUGUGCCAGCCACCGCGGUCAGACAAGAAACCCGAAUUAACUUUUUUAUAACGGCGUAAAGGGUGGUACCAUGCUAUCAAAGUAACUAAGAUUAAAAUGCAACUGAGCUGUCACAAGCCCAAGAUGCCCAUAAGACCACUACUCUUAAAGAAGAUCUUAGACUAACGAUGAAUUGAAACCCACGAAAGCCAGGGCCCAAACUGGGAUUAGAUACCCCACUAUGCCUAGCCAUAAAUAACGAUGCUUAUCUUACCUGAGCAUCCGCCCGAGAACUACGAGCACUAACGCUUAAAACUCUAAGGACUUGGCGGUGCCCCAAACCCACCUAGAGGAGCCUGUUCUAUAAUCGACGAUCCACGAUAUACCUAACCAUUUCUUGCCAAAUCAGCCUAUAUACCGCCGUCGCCAGCUCACCCACUCUGAAGGCCCAACAGUGAGCGCAAUAGCCCUACCACGCUAAUAAGACAGGUCAAGGUAUAGCCUAUGGAAUGGUAGUAAUGGGCUACAUUUUCUAACAUAGAGAAUCACGGC
rnacentral:rRNA from 1 species